rnacentral:ncRNA from 1 species
UGGAGGACCGAACCGACUAAUGUUGAAAAAUUAGCGGAUGACUUGUGGCUAGGGGUGAAAGGCCAAUCAAACCUGGAGAUAGCUGGUUCUCCCCGAAAGCUAUUUAGGUAGCGCCUCGGACGAAUACUACUGGGGGUAGAGCACUGUUAAGGCUAGGGGGUCAUCCCGACUUACCAACCCUUUGCAAACUCCGAAUACCAGUAAGUACUAUCCGGGAGACACACGGCGGGUGCUAACGUCCGUCGUGGAGAGGGAAACAACCCAGACCGCCAGCUAAGGUCCCAAAUUACUACUAAGUGGGAAACGAUGUGGGAAGGCUCAGACAGCCAGGAUGUUGGCUUAGAAGCAGCCAUCAUUUAAAGAAAGCGUAAUAGCUCACUGGUCGAGUCGGCCUGCGCGGAAGAUGUAACGGGGCUAAGUAGUAAACCGAAGCUGCGGCAAUAUACUUUUGUAUAUUGGGUAGGGGAGCGUUCUGUAAGCGGUUGAAGGUGUGUGGUAACGCAUGCUGGACGUAUCAGAAGUGCGAAUGCUGACAUGAGUAACGAUAAAGGGGGUGAAAAACCCCCUCGCCGGAAGACCAAGGGUUCCUGUCCAACGUUAAUCGGGGCAGGGUAAGUCGACCCCUAAGGCGAGGCCGAAAGGCGUAGUCGAUGGGAAACGGGUUAAUAUUCCCGUACUUCAACUUAUUGCGAUGGGGGGACGGAGAAGGCUAGGUGGGCCUGGCGACGGUUGUCCAGGUUCAAGUGCGUAGGCUUAAGAGUUAGGUAAAUCCGGCUCUUUUAAGGCUGAGACACGACGUCGAGCAUCUACGGAUGUGAAGUCAUUGAUGCCAUGCUUCCAGGAAAAGCCUCUAAGCUUCAGAUAAGUUGGAAUCGUACCCCAAACCGACACAGGUGGUCGGGUAGAGAAUACCAAGGCGCUUGAGAGAACUCGGGUGAAGGAACUAGGCAAAAUGGUACCGUAACUUCGGGAGAAGGUACGCUCCUGGCGGUGAAGUCCCUUGCGGAUGGAGCUACUAGGAGUCGCAGAUACCAGGUGGCUGCAACUGUUUAUUAAAAACACAGCACUGUGCAAAAUCGUAAGAUGACGUAUACGGUGUGACGCCUGCCCGGUGCCGGAAGGUUAAUUGAUGGGGUUAGACUUCGGUCGAAGCUCUUGAUCGAAGCCCCGGUAAACGGCGGCCGUAACUAUAACGGUCCUAAGGUAGCGAAAUUCCUUGUCGGGUAAGUUCCGACCUGCACGAAUGGCGUAAUGAUGGCCACGCUGUCUCCACCCGAGACUCAGUGAAAUUGAAAUCGCUGUGAAGAUGCAGUGUACCCGCGGCUAGACGGAAAGACCCCGUGAACCUUUACUACAGCUUGGCACUGAACAUUGACCCUACAUGUGUAGGAUAGGUGGGAGGCUUUGAAACCAGCACGCCAGUGUUGGUGGAGCCGACCUUGAAAUACCACCCUUGUAGUGUUGAUGUUCUAACUUGGUCCCCUUAUCGGGGAUGAGGACAGUGCCUGGUGGGUAGUUUGACUGGGGCGGUCUCCUCCCAAAGAGUAACGGAGGAGCACGAAGGUGGGCUAAUCACGGUUGGACAUCGUGAGGUUAGUGCAAUGGCAUAAGCCGCUUGACUGCGAGAAUGACAAUUCGAGCAGGUGCGAAAGCAGGUCAUAGUGAUCCGGUGGUUCUGAAUGGAAGGGCCAUCGCUCAACGGAUAAAAGGUACUCCGGGGAUAACAGGCUGAUACCGCCCAAGAGUUCAUAUCGACGGCGGUGUUUGGCACCUCGAUGUCGGCUCAUCACAUCCUGGGGCUGAAGUCGGUCCCAAGGGUAUGGCUGUUCGCCAUUUAAAGUGGUACGCGAGCUGGGUUUAGAACGUCGUGAGACAGUUCGGUCCCUAUCUGCCGUGGGCGUUGGAGAAUUGAAAGGGGCUGCUCCUAGUACGAGAGGACCGGAGUGGACGAACCUCUGGUGUUCGGGUUGUGUCGCCAGACGCAUUGCCCGGUAGCUAAGUUCGGAAUUGAUAACCGCUGAAAGCAUCUAAGCGGGAAGCGAGCCUUGAGAUGAGUUCUCCCUGAUACUUUAAGUAUCCUAAAGGGUUGUCGUAGACUACGACGUUGAUAGGUCAGGUGUGUAAGCGUUGUGAGGCGUUGAGCUAACUGAUACUAAUUGCCCGUGAGGCUUAACCAU